AGGACAUCAUCCUGAAAGUGUCUCCAAGAUGUUGAAAACGGCGACAAUGCAACGGCAGUUCCAAGAAUGUAUCUGAGAAUAUGUCUCCAAAUUGUGUACAAACCAAUGAUUAUAUAUAUAUGUUUUACCACUUUAAAUCAGUGGGCAUCGAAAACUGAUUGUCUUCCACCUUGAAUUCUUAUAAUAAUCAAACGAGAAGCGUUGCACUUUUGGCACAUCUGUAUUGCUUGUAAAUGACGCUCACAAAAUGAAAAUCAUAUUCAGGGACAAUCAUGUAUUGGGACCCUCGACUAUUGUUUGUUGGGUUUUUUACCUAACUUUUGGGCGCAAUUUGUACAAUUUCGACUCGUCUGCCCAUGUCCCCGGUAUGAGCCAAUGCCCGCAUUCAAAUGUAUAUAUUUCAAAUACUUUCCUGCUUCUGCAUAAUACUGCAAUUUCUACAUCUCAUUAUAACUUCUGAAUAAACUUUACCAUUAGUUACUGUAAUAAUACAUGCCAGGAAUAGUAAAGGCUAUAUUUCAUUUUUUCAGCAAUGGAGACUUGGGGAGUAAUGUCCAGAUAUUUUUGUGUCUAACCUACAGUCGACGCAGUUUUGAAAUUGAGUCUACAUGCGACCAAAGACCAAACGAAACAAAUCUUUCUCAAUUUAUAUAUGUCCUAAACUAUAUGUAAACAUAAAAAAAAUUGCACUCAAAGCAUCGGAUAAUUCCGAAACGAACAUGAGUCUACCGCUGACAGGUAACAUGUACUGUAGAUAUAUAAUUGUACCUAAAUGUUUGGGCUGUUGUUAUGCGAAUGCAAUGAACAUAUUCUGACUGUUUAAACAGGCUUCUGUACAUGUGGUGUAAUAGCUGCAAGCAUCAAGUAUUCAUUUACGCUGAAUAAACAUAACAAUCAAGGCAA